UACGAAGGGGGCUAGCGUUGUUCGGAAUUAUUGGGCGUAAAGAGCUCGUAGGCGGUCUGUCGCGUCUGCUGUGAAAACUCAGGGCUUAACCCUGAGCUUGCAGUGGGUACGGGCAGACUAGAGUGCGGUAGGGGAGACUGGAAUUCCUGGUGUAGCGGUGAAAUGCGCAGAUUUCAGGAGGAACACCGGUGGCGAAGGCGGGUCUCUGGGCCGUAACUGACGCUGAGGAGCGAAAGCAUGGGGAGCGAACAGG
rnacentral:rRNA from 1 species